UCUAUUCUGUUCUAUUUCAUUAAAAAAAAAAAAAGAAAAAAAGAAGAAAACUGGUCACUACACAUUAAACAGAUUUUAUGAUCCACCAAUGGGUGCCAACUUGUUGUUUGCAAACCACUGGCUACCUCAUGGGAUUAUAUUAAACCUGACAAAGAACCCUGUUCUGCUUUGCACUCUUCACUAAAAACCAUAAAAAUAUUUUCUAUUCAUACAUAAUUGACAAACAUUUCUUAAAUAGGUUUCACUGUGUUUCACAGCUAACAAGUGGUGGAAUUUAGAGCCACAGCCAGUCUUAAGAUUCCAAAUCGAGGGCUAUUUCCGCUUUAUCAUGCUGUAUUCAUGAUCUGAUUUGUGCCUGUCUAGCCUCCCCAACUUGGAAGUGCCCAAAGGACCAGGAAUGUACCUAACAUCAUGCUGGCUGCCCCAGAGGUGCUCAAUGGUAAACAGGUUGGUCAAAAGUCAUGUUCUGGUUUUGACACUGUAUUCUGGGCAUUUUUGUGCCAAAACCUUUUAUAAUGCUUUAUAAUCAUACCUUGUAAAAGGUAUGAUUAUAUUUCAUGGGUAGUAUCAUAUCUAUGAUACUCUAUGUGCCAAUGGGUUGCACCGGAAAAGUUUCCCAAGCUUGUAGGGCUUUUUCUCAGUGAACAGGUAGGAGGGGAUGAGAAAGGGACACUGUUUGUUUCCUACCUGUGCUUGAGCUUUCCCCAGAGUUCAAAGAGAAAAUUCCAGAAAGGCCAAUAAAAGCACCAGAUAGGAAAGUCUUUGUUUCUGCUGGUUUUCCCAAACAGCUGGUUUUCCUCAGGCUGUAAUUUGUAGGCUUAGCUUCUACCAGACCCCGAACCCAUGAUAAAUGGUAAACUAUCAAGAAUAUGCCCCAAUUUUCUGCUACUUUGGGGCUUUCCAGCUAAAAUCCAAUGUCCUCAGGGAAACACAAACAUAACAUCUGUCCUAAGUUAUAUACAUAUGUGUAGGGGGAGGCAUAAGAACUGUUAAGACUGAACAUUCACUAAAUAAUCGUCUGUUGAAUGAAUGAAUGAAUAUGGAUGAAAAAAUCAAAGUGUGAACAUAUGCUACACAUAGGUGGAUAAUCAGGAUUUUUCCCAUGUUCUCAUAUAAAACUCGUUUCCUCAAUGUCCUAGGAGUAGGAAAUGUGAGAAUAACAGUCCUGGGGGUAUCUGGAAAGGAAAGGAUGGGGGAGAAAAGAGUUGAGAGGAGAAAAGGGAAGGUAGGAAUGGGAAAAAAGAAUGUGAGGAAAACGUGGCUGGAAUUGCAGGAAGAAGGCCCAGCAGCACUGAAUGUUGAUCACAUCUUUGUUAGUUCUAGAAUCAUCUUUAUCUUACUUGCUACUCUGUAUACUUUGUUGGACUCAAAGUACACAUUUCAUAUGAUGGAAAGUUCCCUUGUUUACUUAUUCUUCCUGAUCCAGCUUUAAAAGGCUGUCUAACCAUCUCAAUGUUUCUUAUAGCUGAUAUACUCGUGAGCUAAGGAGCGGGAGAAAGCAGCGUCAGGGUGGCUUCCUAAAUCCAGUUCAUGCGAAAGAAACCUUUCCUAAUAUUAAAUCAAGUGGAACCCUCUCAGUAGGAGAAAAAUAGGUGAUGUUGCAAUGACAAGACUCACCUUUCAACCUCAUGAUUGAUAACGUUUGGGGGAAAGAACGAUAUUCUGUUCAAAAGUCAGGUCAAAAGCUUAUCCACACAUUGAUUUCUCAAUACAGGAUCCGUAAUAUCAAAUAAAACAAAAUCCCUUGUCCCAAAUGAAGUCAUUAGCAAAUAUCUCUUUGCUCUCCUGGGAAUUCUGUUCUCUCACAACAUCUUUCUGAAUUAUCACUUUGCAUUGAGUUUAGAGUUUAAUCUUUCAAAUGAAGUAUAUGACCACAGAAGAAGCCAGUGGUUCUGAGGGCAGAAGGGAAGGCUGGUACUAACCUGGUGCCUGGGAGAAACAUUAAGAUCAAGAGCCCAGCUAUGGGAGCCAGACUGCUUCGAUCUGAAAUUGGUUCUGCCACAAGCUAUAGCUGGAAAUUGAAGAAUGCAAUGAAAAGCAAGAGUCAGAGAAAUCCCUGCCACGUGGCACACAGAUGUACAACUCUGGGCAAAGGUUUCCACAAAUACCAUUUCUUCACUCCAAAGUCCAUCUAUGUGUAUUUCCUGAAAUACAGAAUGCUGCAUGUCUGUCUGCUGGUCUCUUAUCCUAGGAGCCUCAGCAGCAGAGGCAGAAGGAGCUCCUAUAACUCUGGAGAUAAAAGACUGGCUCACACAGGCUGAUGCUGCUUAGGGGCACUCACGGACUUUAUUUACUGUUCUUUAUUCAAACGUACAUAGUGUCUGCACUGACAGAGGCAGCCCAGAAAACAGAAACUGUGUCUAUUGUAACUUUUACUUAAGUGGUGUAAAUGAAAAGAUCAUCACCCAAAGAUUUGGUGAGAUUUCCAUUCAGAGAAAGAGAAUGAGUUCAAACAAACAAAAGAAGACAAGAUCUGGGAUUAGGUUUGAUGGUCUGAAACAUACAAGGAAGAAAAUAAAAUUUCUGAUUCCAUAUCUGGGAGAAAAAUCAGAAUUUUCAAUGGCUAUAUUACCCUGCCCCCACCCACCCCUCCCAUGAAGAGAGGCAAUAGGGAGGUGCUUGAAUUCUUUCAGGUCCUAUGGUUGUCACUGAGUAAUUUGUUUCUUAAACGUCUCACAUAAACAUGGCUGAAAUAACAGAUAAAGCUCAUGUGGGUGCCCAACUGGGGGGAGCGCAUUUCUAAUGUCCAAAGGCCAUGUGACAAUGCCAUCUGAAAAACAUGUGACUUGAAGCCAAUGCAAUGACACUAAACCCACUCUAGUGAGCAAUUCUGUGAAAGGCAUCCAUCUCGGAGCCCAGCCAUUAGUGAAACUCAGUAUUGUACAACAAUCUGACUUACCCCAAGGUCUUACGGCAGAGUCCUGGUAUGGUGUUAACCUUUGAAUCACCAAAUCUGGGAAGGAGCCAGCUGCCUUACAGAACUCCUGAAAUUGAAACGCUACCAGAGGUGGGAAAGUAUGCCUGCCUUAGUGACUCUGAUAAGAGGCUCUCGAAAACUGAAAACCACACAAUGGCCAACAAUGUUUUAGUUUCUGAGAAGUUCCUUGUCUAGUGGGGAAAGCAGAUAAAAAAAAUAAAAAGCUUAGAAAAUAAUUCAAGUGUAAUAGUAAGGGUAGGUCCAGGGUGCUGUCAGAACACAGAAGGAGGACACCUCAUCCAGACAGAUGGUAAGGGUCAGGGAAGGCUGUCACUCUGUCUAGUUAUAAGAAAUUCAGAGUACAUUUGAUACAUCUUGUCUUGAAGAUGACACUUGUCCUCCAAGUAAAUCAGACUCUCCCCAGAACCGUGCCAGAGGACUUAGCUCUUCUCAUAAAAGCUGUAUGUAUUUAUUCAUCUGCAUCCUUGGUGAACGCAAGAAAGGUCAGAAAUGUGUCAAUGUUUAGACAUAGGCCAGUGCUACUGCUUUUUAACCUAUGGUCCACAGCCUUGUCAACCGAGUUACUGAAUUAAUAUUCCUCCCUACGUGCUUUUCUUUAAAAAUCCUGUUCUUGGGCUUCCCUGGUGGCGCAGUGGUUGAGAGUCCGCCUGCCAAUGCAGGGGUCACAGGUUCGUGCCCCGGUCCAGGAGGAUCCCACAUGCCGCGGAGCGGCUGGGCCCAUGAGCCAUGGCCGCUGAGCCUGCAUGUCCAGAGCCUGUGCUCCACAACAGGAGAGGCCACAGCAGUGAGAGGCCCGUGUACCCCCCCCCCCAAAAAAAAAAUCCUGUUCUUUCAUGUCUUCCAAUCUGAGUGCCUAUUUCUCUUUACAUGAUUUUUAACAAAUCUCUACCUAACCACUUAGACAAACUAUUUAACUUCAUGUGACCUUAUUUAUUCUGGAAAAUAAAAGCAUAAUUGCCUUAGACAAAAUUUUUUUUAGUUUACAUUAUGCAAUACUUCAUCUCACUUGAUAUUUGCUAUUUUCCCUUCCCCGUCUUCUGCAUACUUCCAGGAGGUCUCCUGAAUAGUCCGUGCCCAAGCAGCAUAAGCCUAGGAGUUAUUUUCAGUAUCAGGUCUCUCUAUAUAACUAAAUACCUAGAAACGUUUCUAUUUCCUGUAAAGUCAUCUGAGUCGGGUGAGCUGAAAAUUGGAGAAUGGGCUCUAUCUGGGCUGCCUGGAGAGCUCAAGGCCCUAAAAGUGAAUGUUGUCUUCUAGCUGUCUGACAAAGCUGUUUAUCAUUCCUGGCUUUACAUCCAGGACAGGGUCUGACCAGCCUGAAUCGUGACAAAAUUAGACGCAUAUUGGAAACUUCGUAUCCUUUUCUCUUUUCUCACUGGCAAUAUUCAUGUGUCCAUUAUUCCUCUGGACUAGAGAGGCCAAACCAGCUCAGGAAUGACAAAGGCUGGGCCCUUUCAGUUGCAGGCUGGGGUUACACCACGGGUGUCCUCCGGAUGCACUCUCUGUCUUAUGGUGGGUCUCUAAGAGUGGAAUGAUUUGUUGUUCAGUAAGGGCCAUACUUAAGGAUUUUACCCUGAGUUUGGACACAAUGCAGGGUCACGUUAAUUACCUUGGAAAUGAGAGUGGUGGUAGCCAGUGGAGAGACUAUUUUGGAAUAAGACGGUAACGUUAUCCAAAGCCACUUCCAGUUCUAAUAUAAAUAUGCACCAAUUGAUAGAACAUGCAGAUUUUUCUCAUUAGAUCUGCUAAUGUAGUUAAAUGGACAGAGUUUUUAACAGCUCUGUUGAGACAUAACUCGCAUACCAUACAAUUCACCCAAUUAAAGCAUACAAUUCAACAGUUUUUAGAACAGUCACAUAAUUGUACAGCCAUCACCACAAUCUAAUUUUAGAAUAUUUUCAUCACACCAAAAAGAAAUCCUGUUAUCCAUUAGCCAUCACCAUCCAAUGUCCCCAUUUCCCUCCCAGGCCUAAGCAACCACUAAUCUACUGUCUGUCUCUAUAGAUUUGCCUAUUAUAGACAUUUCAUAUAAAUAGAAUCAUAUAAUAUAUGGUAUUUCAUAACUGGCUUCUUUCAUUUAUCAUAAUGUUUUCAAGGUUCCUCCUGUUGUGGCAUCUAACAGGGCUUCAUUGUUUGUUAUUGCCAAAAAAUAUUCCAUCGUAUGAAUACACCACUCUUUGUUUUAUUGAUUCAUCAGUCGUUGACAUUUGGAUUAUUUCUACUUUUUGGCUAUUAUGAAUAAUGAGAUUAUGCCUCAUUAUUUACAAUAGCUAAGACAUGGAAACAAUCUAAGUGUCUAUCAACAGAUGACUAGAUGAAGAAGAUGUGGCAUUUAUACAUACAGUGGAAUAUCAUUUAGCCAUAAAAAAGGAGGAAAUCCUACCAAUGUGACAACAUGGAUGGACCUUGAGGGCAUCAUGCUAAGUGAAAUAAGGCAGACAAAUAUCAUACAAUCUAACUUAUAUGUAGAAUCUAAAACAAACAAACAAGCAAACUCAUAGAAAAAGAGAUCAGAUUUGUGGUUACCAGAGGUGGGGGGUGUGUGGAUUGGAUAAAGGGAGUCAAAAGGUACAAACUUCCAGUUAUAAGAUAAGUAAGUACUAGGGAUGUAAUGUACAACAUGACUAUAGUUAACGCUGCUACAUGGUAUGUAUAGAAGUUAAGAGAGUAAAUCCUAAGAGUUCUCAUCACAAGGAAAACAAAUUUUUUUCUCUUUAUCUUUUUUUUUUGGUAUCUAUAUGAGAUGAUGGAUGUUACCUAAAUUAUUGUGGUAAUCAUUUCACAAUAUAAGUCAAACCAUUAUGCUGUGUACCUUAAACUUAUAUAAUGCAGUAUGUUAAUUAUAUCUCAAUAAAACUGGAAAAAAUGCA